CCGUCAGCGACCGUGUGUGCGGGCAUGGCCUGUGCGUCCAGUCACGUGCCCCACCGGUCGGAGGCCAUUCUUGCUAGGGCAAUGAUGAUUAACCAUGGCUGAAAUAAAUGUGCCUUUGAGCAAUCAAGACACCUGUGGGUAUCAAGUUGGAUCCUCCCUCUUGUCUCUAGAAUCCUUUUUGAUCUUGUGAUACUUAUUGUUCUGUCCUUGGAUGGUCAUUCUUGUUGAGUGAUAACCAGGGCAGCUCCACUCUAUAAACAGAUUGAUCUGGUGAUAAGAGAUGACGGGGGUAGGUCAUAUGAUCGAGAAAAGGCGAAUCUGAGCCCACCAUGCAUUGAACCCCGAAUCCUUUUUAUUUGUAGUUAAAGGUGUUGCUUAUUUAUGCUCCGGUGUUUAUAGCCGUCUUAUGUAAAGAUUUCUUCUCUCUCACACCUUUAUUGCAUAUAAGUUGUUCUUGAUCUUUUAUUGUGUGUUAUUGGUCCUUGAAGUUGCACUUUGACUCGCUCCCAGCAAGUUAUCAGUUGAAUGGCUUGUUUUAAUUCUCUGCAACAACAUAGGUGCAGAGGAGGUUUCCAUUCUUUUGUUUGAUAUAUAGGUGCUAAAAGGCGAGUAGUGAGUCAGUGGCAGGGUGGUUAGGGUGGGUCUAUAUAGGUAUAUAAGUAUGUUGUCAGUCUGCUUCUUUUUGUAUUAUCCUGAUCCCGUGUUUAAAUGAAUCAACUCAAAUUUGUAUUUAUGCUCUAUGUGUGAUUGGUCAUGAGCCCAGCCCAUAAUGUAUACUUGAACAAUUAGGCAUUCUUGAUGACACCCUAUUUUUUACUUUGGUAUGUAUUUUCUUUGUUGUUAGAACUAUUGUUUUGCCUAUGCCUGGUUGCUAUUCAGA
rnacentral:rRNA from 1 species